UACGUAGGGGGCAAGCGUUGUCCGGAUUUAUUGGGCGUAAAGAGCGUGUAGGCGGUCAGGUAGGUCCGUUGUGAAAACUCGAGGCUCAACCUCGAGACGUCGAUGGAAACCAUCUGACUAGAGUCCGGAAGAGGAGAGUGGAAUUCCUGGUGUAGCGGUGAAAUGCGCAGAUAUCAGGAAGAACACCCGUGGCUAAGGCGGCUCUCUAGUACGGUACUGACGCUGAGACGCGAAAGCGUGGGGAGCGAACAGG
rnacentral:rRNA from 1 species